rnacentral:rRNA from 1 species
GCAAGUCGAGCGCGAAAGGCCUUCGGGCUGAGUAGAGCGGCGGACGGGUGAGUCACGCGUAGGAAUCUACCUGGUAGUGGGGGACAACUUGGGGAAUCCCAAGCUAAUACCGCAUACGCCCCAUGGGGGAAAGCGGGGGACCUUCGGGCCUCGCGCUAUCAGAUGAGCCUGCGUUGGAUUAGCUUGUUGGUGAGGUAAAGGCUCACCAAGGCGACGAUACAUAGCUGGUCUGAGAGGAUGAUC